GCCGGGGUGGCGGAGCGGUUAACGCGCUGGCCUCGAGAGCCAGUGGGCCUUCGGGCUCGCAGGGGUUCAAAUCCCCUCCCCGGCGCCA
rnacentral:tRNA from 1 species